rnacentral:rRNA from 1 species
UGAAUACGAGAUGCUACGGCGUCGAAGCAGUGUAUGUCAGACUUCCAAGAAAAGCUCGCAAUGUCAUAAAUAAAGAAUGCCUGUACCAUAACCGACACAGGUGGGUAGGUAGAGUAUACUAAGGGGCGCGAGAUAACUCUCUCUAAGGAACUCGGCAAAAUAACUCCGUAACUUCGGGAGAAGGAGUGCCUUCUUUAAGAAGGUUGCAAUAACAAGAUCCAAGCAACUGUUUAUCAAAACCACAGGUCUCCGCUAAGUCGUAAGACGAUGUAUGGGGGCUGACGCCUGCCCAGUGCCAGAAGGUUAAAGAAGUUGGUUAGCUUUUGCGAAGCUGAUGACUGAAGCCCUGGUGAACGGCGGCCGUAACAAUAACGGUCCUAAGGUAGCGAAAUUCCUUGUCGGGUAAGUUCCGACCCGCACGAAAGGCGUAAUGAUUUGGAUACUGUCUCGGAGAGGGACUCGGUGAAAUAGACUUGUCUGUGAAGAUGCGGACUACCUGCACCAGGACAGAAAGACCCUAUGAAGCUUUACUGUAACUUGAAAUUGAAAUUGGACUUUAUUUGCGCAGUAUAGGUGGAAGGCGUUGAAAGUAAUCUUGCGGGAUUAGUGGAGCCAUCAGUGAGAUACCACUCCUAUAAUGUUAGAUUUCUAACUUUGGAUCAUGAUCUGGUCAAAGAACAGUUUCAGGCGGGCAGUUUGACUGGGGCGGUCGCCUCCCAAAUGGUAACGGAGGCGUACAAAGGUUUCCUCUGAACGGGUAGAAAUCGUAUCUAGAGUGUAAAGGCAUAAGGAAGCUUGACUGUGAGACCUACAAGUCGAGCAGGGACGAAAGUCGGUCUUAGUGAUCUGACGGUGCUGAGUGGAAAGGCCGUCACUCAACGGAUAAAAGUUACUCUAGGGAUAACAGGCUGAUCUCCCCCAAGAGUUCACAUCGACGGGGAGGUUUGGCACCUCGAUGUCGGCUCAUCGCAUCCUGGGGCGGUAGUACGUCCCAAGGGUUGGGCUGUUCGCCCAUGAAAGCGGUACGCGAGCUGGGUUCAGAACGUCGUAAGACAGUUCGGUCCAUAUCCGGUGUAGGCGUUAGAAUAUUGAGAGGAGCCUUCUUUAGUACGAGAGGACCGAGAAGGACAUACCUCUGGUGUACCAGUUAUCGUGCCAACGGUAAACGCUGGGUAGCUAUGUAUGGAGAGGAUAACCGCUGAAAGCAUCUAAGUGGGAAGCCCACCUCAAGAUGAGUAUUCCCACC